CAGUAGCCGCGGGAAUACGGAGGGAGCUAGCGUUGUUCGGAAUUACUGGGCGUAAAGCGCGCGUAGGCGGUUACUCAAGUCAGAGGUGAAAGCCCGGGGCUCAACCCCGGAACUGCCUUUGAAACUAGGUGACUAGAAUCUUGGAGAGGUCAGUGGAAUUCCGAGUGUAGAGGUGAAAUUUGUAGAUAUUCGGAAGAACACCAGUGGCGAAGGCGACUGACUGGACAAGUAUUGACGCUGAGGUGCGAAAGCGUGGGGAGCAAACAGGAUUAGAUACCCCAGUAGUCCCUGUCUCUUAUAA
rnacentral:rRNA from 1 species